rnacentral:rRNA from 1 species
UACGAAGGGGGCUAGCGUUGCUCGGAAUGACUGGGCGUAAAGGGCGCGUAGGCGGAUGGCACAGUCAGAUGUGAAAUUCCCGGGCUUAACCUGGGGGCUGCAUUUGAUACGUGUUGUCUUGAGUUCGGAAGAGGGUCGUGGAAUUCCCAGUGUAGAGGUGAAAUUCGUAGAUAUUGGGAAGAACACCUGUGGCGAAAGCGGCGCACUGGACCACAACUGACGCUGAGGCGCGAAAGCUAGGGGAGCAAACAGG